rnacentral:rRNA from 1 species
GUGGGGAAUAUUGGACAAUGGGCGAAAGCCUGAUCCAGCCAUGCCGCGUGAGUGAUGAAGGCCUUAGGGUUGUAAAGCUCUUUCAGUAGGGAAGAUAAUGACGGUACCUACAGAAGAAGCCCCGGCUAACUUCGUGCCAGCAGCCGCGGUAAUACGAAGGGGGCUAGCGUUGUUCGGAUUUACUGGGCGUAAAGCGCACGUAGGCGGAUUGGUCAGUUAGAGGUGAAAUCCUGGAGCUCAACUCCAGAACUGCCUUUAAUACUGCCAGUCUAGAGUCCAGAAGAGGGUAGUGGAACUCCGAGUGUAGAGGUGGAAUUCGUAGAUAUUAGGAAGAACACCAGUGGCGAAGGCGGCUCACUGGUCUGGUACUGACGCUGAGGUGCGAAAGCGUGGGGAGCAAACAGGAUUAGAAACCCCGGUAGUCC